rnacentral:rRNA from 1 species
GACGAACGCUGGCGGCGUGCUUAACACAUACAAGUCGAACGGUGAAGCGCCUUCCUUUUUGGUGGGUGUGGAUGAGUGGCGAACGGGUGAGUAACACGUGAGUAACCUGCCCCCUUCUUCUGGAUACCCGCAUGAAAGUGUGGCUAAUACGGGAUAUUCUGGGUCUGUCGCAUGAUGGGUCUGGGAAAGAUAUUGUUUCGGUGGGGGAUGGGCUCGCGGCCUAUCAGCUUGUUGGUGGGGUGAUGGCCUACCAAGGCGGUGACGGGUAGCCGGCCUGAGAGGGUGGACGGUCACACUGGGACUGAGACACGGCCCAGACUCCUACGGGAGGCAGCAGUGGGGAAUAUUGCACAAUGGGCGCAAGCCUGAUGCAGCGACGCCGCGUGAGGGAUGGAGGCCUUCGGGUUGUGAACCUCUUUCGCCAGUGAAGCAGGCCUGCCUCGUUUGUGGGUGGGUUGACGGUAGCUGGAUAAGAAGCGCCGGCUAACUACGUG